rnacentral:lncRNA from 1 species
AUCCAUUUGAUAUUAUCCAUUAGCUUCCUCGGUUCAUUGGUUGAGUCAGUUCGACGGUUCCAUUGGCUUUCUCCUCCACAAGGACCACAACCACGAGUGACGAGUCGCCGUUGAGGCUAUGAGUCUGUGACCCACUGACCGUGGUCCGUGAGGCAUGACUUGUGACGUAAAUCAGGUGAUUUUCUUGGGCUUUUAGAAUUUCAGAAUCUUGGAUUUUUCUUUGUGGUGGGCCGAUGGUUGUUAAUGCUUUUUAGAAGUUUGAUUUUGGAACCAUGAAACUGAUUAAAGAUUGGAGAAGGCAAGAAGUUGACUAAAAUUUUCACUCUUCAUUUAAUUUUUAUUAUCGCUAUGGAAAGUGGAAAAACACCUUUUUUGGGAUUUGAAGUUUUGAUGAUUUCUAGUUUCUAGAGUAAGUUUACAGUGGCCUUUGCAGUUUGCCCUUGUGUGACUUUGUCUCAUUGUUCCCUCUUUGGUAUGAUUAGGGUUUUUCAUAUUUGAGUGAGUAAUUUAUAAUUAUGUAAUUGUAAUCUAAAGAAGUAAAGAAGAUGCUAAAUAAGAGUUUUUUUUCCCACAUUUUGAUGGAGUUGCAACCUGCAAUAUGUAUGACAGAUGAAUGUAAACGGACAGUAUGAAUGUAAACGGACAGUACACUAGCACAUGAACCGUUUUUCAAAAAUGAUGAAUGCAGUGGAAUAAACAUUACGGCAGAUUAAAUUUACCUAUUGGAUUAGAACCAGGCUCGAUCUUGAGGCCAGGCGGAUGAUGCCUGUGCCUCAGGCCCAAAAUCCAAGGGGGCCUCAUAUUGUUGGCCCAAUUUUUUUUUUUUUUUUUUUUUUUUUAUUAUUAUUUGAACAAUGGUAACCCAGCUAAGAGUAGCCUAAAACUCUCAAGCUCAAGCCCGUAUCCUGAUCCAUUAUCCAUUUUUCCCAAAAUUCCCAAAUUGAAAUCCAUUCCAUUUUCUCUCUCGCUCGACUUCUCCUUAUUCCUCUUCCAGCUCCAGUUCCAGACUUUCGAGAUCCAGACUUCAACUCUUCUAGUCUUCUAGAGUUCCAGUUUCAGUUUUCAAGUUCCUCGCUUGGUUAGUUGGCUGCUUGGCUUCACAGUUCGCUGGAGCGAUGGAGGCACGGACCCUCGAGGCUUGAGUCCCACUGGUCAUUGUCUCAGACUCCCAGUGAGUUCAAACACCGAGUGGCCUCCUUCUGUCGAGAGGCUACUGGCUGGGGCCUGGGCAUUUUUGGUGUCAAACCAGUGAGCUCAAGUUCCAUUCCCUAAUGAGUUCAACUCUUUUAGUUUUUUACCAGUUACAUUUAGGUAUUUACUUAUUAUAAUUUUGAUGGCUUGAUUUUAAUUGAUAAAUAGUCCUUUUUAUUGUACAUGUGCUGUGGGGUAUACUGUAAUUGAGUUUCAGAGAAGUUCUUGGAAAGAGUUGACUGUUGGGAAGGGAAAAAGAUUAAAGGAAUGGAAUGGUUGACGAGGGUUGAGUGUUACUGUGUUAAAGUUCUUUGAAGAGGGUUUAUAGCAAAUUAAAAUGGGAGAGUAGUACUGCGUAAUUAAUGGCUGAGUGACGAGGGUUGAGUGUUACUGUGCUACUGUGUAAUUAUUGCAAAUUGAGUGUUACUGUGUUAAAUCCAAAUCUUGAAAUUGGCACACUAGAAGAUCUACUGAUCUAGUACUACUAGUAUUGGCUCUUGGCGACAAUGGACAUUAUCCCCUCGAUAAAUGCAUAGAAGAGUAAGCCAAAAAUGAUAAGGAUUGCCUACUUUAUUUGAUGGAAUGGAAUCCAUAUGCAAGUGAAAAGGAUUAGGGUAGUAGUGGAUAAAUGAGAUUGAGCAUAUAAACUGAUUAUUUUUUCCUCUCUAUAAACUGAUUAUUUUUUCCUCUCUAUCUCUUUGAACAAUUUGAGAUUAAAAAUUAGAGGUGGGCUAAAGUGAAUGUUUGAAUUUUGAUUCCUAAUGCUAUCUUUUAUCAUGUGUAAGUGUAAAAUAGUUUAUAGUUAAUUUGAAUAACUUAAUUUGAUAGAAUGACAGGCAAAUUGUGCAAUUGUUAUUUCCCUAAGUUUGAUGAUCAUGUUCAUAUUUGUAUUAGCGUUUGAUGUGAAAUUUUCGUUUCAGGGUCGUUAGUUGUGAGUUUUUUUAGUUGUGACAGUGGAAUUCUCGAAGGUGUAACUCCACAAUUUUCAUCGAAAUUCUACUUCUCAAGUAAGCAAUAUCUUGCCCUAACUUGUUAUUGAAGAGAUUGAAAAUGUUUAAAGCCUUGUCGGCUUAUAUAAUCGUAGCUUGGUCUGCUUAUAUGAUUGAUUGUUGGAGGAUCAACAAUUGCACAGACGCACAUAAUGACUAUAUUGUUGGUUUUGAUGGUUUAUAAUAUAAAUCUUGAGUAUUAUAACAACAAUGUUAUAACACGUGUUAUAACAACAAUGUUAUAACACAUGGGUUUUGAUGGUUUAUAACAUUGUUGGUUUUGAUGGUCUAUAAUAUAAAUCUUUUUUAUAAUAUAUUUGGUUUUUUUUUUUUAAUGUUAAUUUUUUAAGUUAGCAAUGAAUCGUAUAAUACAUCGUUGAAUUUCACAUUUACAUUGCUUUCGCUAAGGGGCCUAAUUUACAGACUUCGCCUCAAGUUCCGACAAUCACAGGAUCGAUCCUGAUUAGAACUACUCCUGUAUUCUCAAUUGCAGCAGAAAGCUCUAUGGAACGGGCAAUUGUAACACCAUCACUAAUCACUUUAAGUGUUUCUGUUUCUAAAAGAACUGCAUGCUUCAAAGUAACACCAAUAAACUUUUUUCCAGAAAUAAAACAAUAGUAGUGACAACUAUAAAAGUAAGAAUAUAAUUCAUUCUAUAUUUUAAAAUUUUGAAAUAAUUUUGACUAUCACUGGCUCUACUAUGUUUCCAAAGUCAGAUUUGCUUUCUCAAUAAAACAUACUUCAGUGCCUGACUUUAGACAUCCCCAAAAACCUCACAAUAGCACAUAACAAAGAUAUCAUUCUUCCAAAGGAUUUAUGAAAAAUAAAGGCAAAAGCAUGAUGUUGAUGUGUAGGAAAACAUUAGCCCUACGUUAUUCGGCUAAAAAAGGUUACAUCAAGCUUUAAGUGGGAGCCGAAAGGUGAAAGUGAAAUACCAUUUUAUGUACUUCUGUUUGAUGACCUUAUUUUUCUUAAGUUACAAUAUCAAUUAAAAGAGUGGACUAAAAGUUAAUUCUAAAUUUUAAUGCGGAGUUCUUCUUCAUUGUCAAGUGUCAACAGACUUAAUUCCACAGACACGUAGGAAAAGCAAAAGCUUCAAUACACCCUAGUAAGUAAAUGUCCCCAUCUCUAAAGUAGUGGGAGUGUUAGAGAACUUGAAAGCCAAUUACAAAUUCAGGCACAAAGGGUGGGGGCAUUAGAAGAAAAAUGUAAACAUUUAUCGGGUUUUUUGUGCAGGUUAUGAGUAGUAACUUUUUAUACAUUUCAUGAUUAUAUAGCUUUAUAUAGCCAAUUACAUGUAUAAUAACUUUUGUAAUUUUUGUAUCAUUAUACAGAAUGUGGUUUCCGUUUCCUAUAUUGUUAAAUGUUUAUCUAAUAUAUAUUCAGUUUGUAACAUUCUAAUUUUAAAAAGAAUACUUUCCGUUUAUUAUGAAUUUGUAGUCACACCAAGGAAGUGGUAACCAAGAAAGUACUACCCCCAAGACAUAUGCUAGAUGUCAAUUGUUGCAUUGGUACAUUUUUGAGGAGGAAGAAGUCAUAAUAGAAAGGAAGAUUGCCACAACAAACCCAAGUGUAAAGGUGCAUCACUUGCCACUUGGUCGAGACUGUUGGAAGGUUUGGGUUGAGAAAGUCUAUAUGGGUAAUUUGACUCUAUACAGACUCACGUAUGAAUUCCAUGGGAAUCACUUGGCCAAAGAGCAGCAUUAGACUUAUUGAUUAAGGUAUAUUUUUUGGAUUUAUAACAUAUAAGCGUCUUAUUUUCGUUUUCUUUCCAUUUCAAAUAGUAUUUAGUGUUGGUUGGUUGGUUGGUACGUAUGAAGUGGUUUCAUGUAAUUGGUUGGUUAGCUAGUGAGAUUUUGGCAGUGAGAAUUAAUAGGUUACUUGCUUAAUUCUUAGGUUUCAUUCAAUAAGUUUUUUGUUAUUGAAUGGUCGAAACAUGAUUUUAUGUUGAGGUUAGAAUUCUUGUAGUGGGUAAUUUGUUAAUGUGUUGGUAACAUGAUUUUGUGCUAAGCCUGAAAUGCCUUUGUGAUUGUCUUGAUUUAUCACAAUUAAGUAUAUCUUAAUAAAAAGGAGAAGUUUUUCUAUUUAAAAGUUUAUUUGUUAUUCAGUGGUUGUUGGCUAAAAACACCUCUACAGAACUCGUUGAUUGUAGGCUGAUCUUUUUCCAAAAACAAUUUUCUUUUUGAAGUGAGAUUAAUGCAAAGCUCAUUGGACAGAAAUUGUUCCAGUGGCUAUGGUAUUGGUCAAGUAACAUGCGACGAUGUCAAGUUUAAGUUUCAAUUUUUGUAGUUUCCUAAUUACAUUUUGGUAGUACAUGUUUGGAGACUCUUAUUUUUAUUUUGGAAAACAUUAUGUGUUGAAUAUUUUACAAAUUUAAUGAGUACA